rnacentral:rRNA from 1 species
UACGGGGGGUGCGAGCGUUGUCCGGAAUCACUGGGCGUAAAGGGCGCGUAGGUGGUUUGAUAAGGGUGUGGUGAAAGUCCGGGGCUCAACCCCGGAUCUGCCGUGCCGACUGUCAAACUCGAGGGCUGUAGAGGCAGACGGAAUUCCGGGUGUAGCGGUGGAAUGCGUAGAGAUCCGGAGGAAGACCGGUGGCGAAGGCGGCUCUCUGGAACGCAACUGACGCUGAGACGCGAAAGCGUGGGGAGCAAACAGG